GGUGGUCAUCCUGCCCCAGAACGUCUGGGAGCACCUGUACAACAGAUUCGGGGGUGGCCCCGCCGUGAACCACCUGUACGUGUGCUCCAUCUGCCAGGUGGAGAUCGAGGCACUGGCCAAGCGCAGGAGGAUCGAGAUCGACACCUUCAUCAAGUUGAACAAGGCCUUCCAGGCCGAGGAGUCGCCGGGCGUCAUCUACUGCAUCAGCAUGCAGUGGUUCCGGGAGUGGGAGGCGUUCGUCAAGGGGAAGGACAACGAGCCCCCCGGGCCCAUUGACAACAGCAGGAUUGCACAGGUCAAAGGAAGCGGCCACGUCCAGCUGAAGCAGGGAGCUGACUACGGGCAGAUUUCGGAGGAGACCUGGACCUACCUGAACAGCCUGUAUGGAGGUGGCCCCGAGAUUGCCAUCCGCCAGAGCGUGGCGCAGCCGCUGGGCCCAGAGAGCCUGCACGGGGAGCAGAAGAUCGAAGCCGAGACGCGGGCUGUGUGAUCUGCUGGGCUCGUCUAGCAGGUCCCUGAAAGCACCUUCCUGGAGGCUGUGGGAGGGCCCUGGACAUGGCCCGGCCCCACUGCUGAGUGCCCGUGUCCCCACAGCCCCACGUGCCCCACCCCGCGGAAGGCGUGUUUGUGCCCAGAAGAGAGGCCG
rnacentral:sRNA from 1 species